rnacentral:lncRNA from 1 species
GCCAUCGCAACCAUUACCACCACUAGCUCCGCCUGCAAGCAAGAGAAGUGUUUCACAUGUAUGGUUUCAGCAAUAGUUACUCUUACCUAAAAUCAUAUAUGAGCUUUUAUUUUCUAUCUAAUUUUCUUACAAUUAAGUUAAAACAACUCAGUUAUAACUUCAUUUUAUACCAUAUAUAAAAACAUUAUGUGUUAAAUAUCAAUCAUAUCAUAUGUUGCUAAAAAUUGAGAUCAAUAUCCACCUCCAUAUUAUAAUUAAAAAAUAAACAAUAAAUCAAGUAGACAAUGUUUCAACUUUGAUUAUAUAUUAAUAUUAGUCACUAUUUUUAUGUUAUUUAUUGUUUGAACCUUAGGGUCUAUUUCCAUCUCCAAUAGCUGAACAUGGUUGGGGAAGUCCUGCACCACUUGCAAGUGAGUAUAGAACUUAUGCUGCUGGUCCAAGCUCUGUUGGCACUAAACCUUUUGGUUUCGGACCUGACUUUUGUGCUAGACCACCACCUCCUAAGGUCAUUUUUUUGUUUCAUUAUAAGAACGAGUAAGGAUCCUCUUCAAUACUAGAGAGACAAUUGCUACAAAAAAAAGCAAAAGACAAAUAUGCUAUAAUACAUUUAUCUCUUUAUUUACAAUGAAAUAAUAGUCUAAUCAUUGAAAACAAAAUGAGAAACAAAACUUGUAUCUAUAGUACGGGAGAGGAUCCUUAUCCUACAUCUCAAUCGUAUAAUUUGUUUUAUUUAGGGUUUGCAUUUAUUAUUUCCAUUUUGUACAUUUGAACUUGGUCCGUGACUGUUUUUUAUGUUGUGUAGGUUAACAUCAGAAUGAAUGAGUUUGUAGAAAACAGGCACAAGAUGCAGAUGGUGCAUGGCCAAAAAAGUGCUUUUCCCUCACCUAGUCGUGGGACUACUCAUGGGACUAGUCGUGGGACUGGUGUGUUUCAUCCUCUUUCGAGUGUUCAACUACAACCCAAC